rnacentral:rRNA from 1 species
GAUGAACGCUGGUGGCGUGCCUAAUACAUGCCAGUCGAGCGAACAGACGAGGAGCUUGCUCCUCUGACGUUAGCGGCGGACGGGUGAGUAACACGUGGAUAACCUACCUAUAAGACUGGGAUAACUUCGGGAAACCGGAGCUAAUACCGGAUAAUAUAUUGAACCGCAUGGUUCAAUAGUGAAAGACGGUUUUGCUGUCACUUAUAGAUGGAUCCGCGCCGCAUUAGCUAGUUGGUAAGGUAACGGCUUACCAAGGCAACGAUGCGUAGCCGACCUGAGAGGGUGAUCGGCCACACUGGAACUGAGACACGGACCAGACUCCUACGGGAGGCAGCAGUAGGGAAUCUUCCGCAAUGGGCGAAAGCCUGACGGAGCAACGCCGCGUGAAUGAUGAAGGUCUUCGGAUCGUAAAACUCUGUUAUUAGGGAAGAACAAAUGUGUAAGUAACUAUGCACGUCUUGACGGUACCUAAUCAGAAAGCCACGGCUAGCUACGUG